AUCAAAUAAUAAUGAUAUGGUAGGAGAUACACACCAAACAGGAUGUGUAAAUUAUUAUAUAAUAAGUAUUGUGCAAUAGCAAGAAAUUUUCAAUUGCACAGUAUUGCACAAUAGCAAGAAAUCUUCAAUUGCACAGUAUUGCGCAAUAGCAAGAAAUCUUCAAUUGCACAGUAUUGCGCAAUAGCAAGAAAUAUCCAAUAGCACAAUAUUGCGCAAUAGCAAGAAAUUGUCAAUUGUACAGUAUUGCGCAAUAGCAAGAAAUAUUUAAUAGCACAGGAUUGUGCAAAAGAAGAUACUUCCUAUAAAUUGCUUAUUUCUUGACCAAUUUCAAUGGGGUUUUAUUCUUGAUUUCAUGGGGUUCUUUAAUAUGCUGAAUCUAACCGUGUAUUUAGUUUUUGGAUUUUGGGCCCCGUUUUUAAAUUGGUCCACAUUGAGGUCCAAAGGGUCCAAAAUUAAACUUUGUUUGAUUUCAUCAAAAAUUGAAUUAUUUGGGUUCUUUGAUAUGCCGAAUCUAACUGUGUAUUUAGAUUCUUAAAUUUCGGUUCCGUUUUCAAAUUGGUCUACAUUAAGGUCCAAAGGGUCCAAAAUUAAACUUAGUUUGAUUUUAACAAAAAUUGAAUUCUUAGGGUUCUUUGAUAUGCUGAAUCUAAACAUGUAUUGAGAUUUUUGAUUAUGGGCCCAGUUUUCAAGUUGGUCCAAAUCGGGGUCCAAAAUUAAACUUUGUUUGAUUUCAACAAAAAUUGAAUAUAUGGGGUUCUUUGAUAUGCUGAAUCUAACCAUGUAUUUAGAUUUUUGAUUUUUGGGCCCCGUUAUCAACUUUGUCCACAUUGAGGUCAAAAGGGUCCAAAAUUAAACUUUGUUUGAUUUCAUCAAAAAUUGAAUUAUUGGGGUUCUUUGAUAUGCCGAAUCUAACCGUGUAUUUAGAUUCUUAAUUUUUGGUUCCGUUUUCAAAUUGGUCUACAUUAAGGUCCAAAGGGUCCAAAAUUAAACUUAGUUUGAUUUUAACAAAAAUUGAAUUCUUAGGGUUCUUUGAUAUGCUGAAUCUAAACAUGUAUUUAGAUUUUUGAUUAUGGGCCCAGUUUUCAAGUUGGUCCAAAUCGGGGUCCAAAAUUAAACUUUGUUUGAUUUCAACAAAAAUUGAAUAUAUGGGGUUCUUUGAUAUGCUGAAUCUAACCAUGUAUUUAGAUUUUUGAUUUUUGGGCCCCGUUAUCAACUUUGUCCACAUUGAGGUCAAAAGGGUCCAAAAUUAAACUUUGUUUGAUUUCAUCAAAAAUUGAAUUCUUGGGGUUAUUUGAUAUGCUGAAUCUAACCAUGUAUUUAGAUUUUGGAUAUUGGACCAUAAUAGGUGAAUGUCCAAUUUAAAAUUUUUAAGUUCUUAGACCACAUUCAAUCUGUGUUAGAAACCUAUGCUGUGUCAAAUAUUUAAUCACAAUCCAAAUCCAAAGCUGUAUCAAGCUUGAAUGUUGUGUCCAUACUUCCCCCAACUGUUCAGGGUUCGACCUCUGCGGUCGUAUCAAGCUGUGCCCUGCGGAGCAUUUUAUUGAAGGAUGGAAUAGUCUGUUAGCCAAUUACGGAUUUGAUUCUGUUAUUACACACUUUUAACACAAAUUGCUUCCCUUUGUAAAUUGAAGCCUGAUUCUGUACUGGACAAAAUACAAAUCAUGAUAAGUUGAAAGUGGUAUAUCGGCCUUUUUACCUAUUUUAAAGUGAAAAGUAAUUAUUGGUAUCAAAAGUGUAUAGCUUAAAGAAAAAUUAAAUGCAAUUAAUAGAUUUGAAAAACUUGAAGGUUACACACAUUACACACAGAUAAAUUUGCUAUUUCCGCUAAAUCUCCAUUGUCAAUGAAAACUUAUGUCCCUCCUAAGGGUAAAUCUCCUUUACUUUACAAGGGAAUAAAAAACUAAUAUGGUCUCGUAAUACAUAUCUGUUUGUAUUUAUGCUUAUUUUAUUGGAUGGAUUGGACAGAGUCCAAAACCAGCUUAUAGUAAGGUGAUGUCAGGUAGACGGGUUGGUGCUGAAAUGUGGGGACCUAGUUUAUGUAAUCAACACCUCCUACAGUUUUCAACCAAGACCCCUAAAUCUUCACAGGAAUAUCGUACAUUUGUUGAAGUUGUGCACCUGCUUUUAUGAAAUUGUUUGAGGAAUUUUUCCAAACUUGAAUAAGCGUACACAUCUUGUGUAAUCAACACCUCCUACAAAUAUCAACCCAGAUACUUGAAACUUCACAGGAAUAUUGCACAUAUGUUGAAGUUGUGCACCUUUUGUUAAAGAAUUGUUUGAGAAAUUUUUUUCAGACUUUGGAACUUAGUAAUUUUUUCUGCAAAAUUUAUAAACAUUGUAAACAUUCUACAAUGAUUAGUCACAAGUAUUGCAAUCAGGCCGUUUGAGACUUUGAUCAUUUUUUGUUUCUUGACCAAAUCAAAUUCUAGAUUUUCCAUUGUAAAAUAUGGACAUUUUUUGUUGUGACAGGUCCCUAUGUUUGUAAAACAGACCAAUGUACAUUUUCUAUAAUGUGAAUUUUUAAUAAAUUAUUACAUAUGUGUAAAUAUUUAUCUUGGUCAUUAUUCUUUAGUAAUUUUUCAUGUCAAGGUAAACAUGCCAAAUUGUUAUUAGCCUAUAUAGGUCAACACCUAGAAGUUGUGGUCUAACACAUGUCCAUAAAUUUGUUAAAUGGAACUCUUGGUUUUUUUUGUAAAUGUACAUCUUUUAUAAUGUUAAAUCUUAAUAUAUUACAUACGUGUUUUGGUCAUUAUUCAGUGUUUGAAGUUAUUUUUCAUUCUUUUUAUGUCAAGGUAAACAUGCCAAACUUUUAUUCACCUAUAUAGGUCAACACCUAGAAUUUGUGGUUUAACACAUGUUCAUAAAUUUGUAAAAUGAAACUGAUGUUUUAUGGCCCCGCAAUAAAGUUGUCUGGGCCAUAUAGUUUUACCCUUGUCUGUCAUUCCGUCAUCCGCAACAAACCAUUAUACACAUUUUUUUUCCAAACGCCUUCAGAUAUUGGGCUGAUUUUUGGUAUGUAAGUUAACCAUGAUGAGUUACAGAUCAAGUUUAAUUUUCGUGAGUCUACCAUGAUGAGUUACAGAUCAAGUUUAUAUUUUGUUCUGCUAUGCUGAUUUUCAUGUCGUUUCAACACAUCUUGUUAGAUCUGCAGUUCAUCCACUUCCUGUUUGCUGAUAGUUUGAAAUUUAACUACUCAUUGAUCAAGGAAAUUUUUCAUCAGACAUUGGUCUUGAGAGCUGUAUACUAUCCAUGCAUGUUUGUGUGUUGAAAUUGCAGAUUUUUCAACUGUUUGAGACGAGGCCAUUCGUGUCGUUCCAACACAUCUAGUUUUUCUAUAAAUUGACAUCUUUUAUAAAGUGAACUUUUAAUAAAUUAUUACAUAUGUGGUAAUACUAGUCUUGUUCAUUAUUCAGUGUAUGUAAUUAUUCAUCAGUAAUUUUUCAUUCUUUAUGUCGGUUAAAUAUAAGCCUAUAUAUAGGUCAACACCUAGAA